AAAGUUGAAGUUUAGUGUUGAGCAACUGGCCGUUAACCAGGGAGGAGUGGGAUUAAUACCUGCCAACUUUA
rnacentral:tRNA from 1 species